CUACGGGACGCAGCAGUGGGGAAUAUUGGACAAUGGGGGAAACCCUGAUCCAGCAAUGCCGCGUGUGUGAAGAAGGCCUGCGGGUUGUAAAGCACUUUCGGUUGGGAGGACUGCUUCUAGCACUAAUAUUGUUGGAAGUUGACGUUACCUUCAGAAGAAGCACCGGCUAACUCCGUGCCAGCAGCCGCGGUAAUACGGAAGGUGCAAGCGUUAAUCGGAAUUACUGGGCGUAAAGCGCGCGUAGGCGGCUAGAUCAGUCGGGUGUGAAAGCCCCGGGCUUAACCUGGGAACUGCAUCCGAUACUGUCUAGCUUGAGUACAGGAGAGGAGAGUGGAAUUCCACAUGUAGCGGCGAAAUGCGUAGAUAUGUGGAGGAACACCAAUGGCGAAGGCAGCUCUCUGGCCUGAUACUGACGCUGAGGUGCGAAAGCGUGGGGAGCAAACAGGAUUAGAUACCCCUGUAGUC
rnacentral:rRNA from 1 species